UACGUAGGGUGCAAGCGUUGUCCGGAAUUAUUGGGCGUAAAGAGCUCGUAGGCGGCUCAGUAAGUCAGAUGUGAAAACUCAGGGCUCAACCCGGAGACGCCAUCUGAUACUGCUGUGGCUUGAGUCUGGUAGGGGAUCACGGAAUUCCUGGUGUAGCGGUGAAAUGCGCAGAUAUCAGGAGGAACACCGAUGGCGAAGGCAGUGAUCUGGGCCAGUACUGACGCUGAGGAGCGAAAGCGUGGGUAGCAAACAGG
rnacentral:rRNA from 1 species